rnacentral:rRNA from 1 species
GACAGAGGUGCCGAGCGUUAGGCGGAAUCACUGGGCUUAAAGCGUGUGUAGGCGGACCCGUCAGUGUCUUGUGAAAUCCCACGGCUCAACCGUGGAACGGCUGGGCAUACUGCGGGUCUUGAGCGGCCUAGGGGCAGACGGAACAGGCGGUGGAGCGGUGAAAUGCGUAGAUAUCGCCUGGAACGCCGACGGUGAAAACAGUCUGCUGGGGGCCUGCUGACGCUGAGACACGAAAGCCAGGGGAGCGAACGGG